GAUGAACGCUGGCGGCGUGCCUAAUACAUGCAAGUCGAGCGAACAGACGAGGAGCUUGCUCCUCUGACGUUAGCGGCGGACGGGUGAGUAACACGUGGAUAACCUACCUAUAAGACUGGGAUAACUUCGGGAAACCGGAGCUAAUACCGGAUAAUAUAUUGAACCGCAUGGUUCAAUAGUGAAAGACGGUUUUGCUGUCACUUAUAGAUGGAUCCGCGCCGCAUUAGCUAGUUGGUAAGGUAACGGCUUACCAAGGCAACGAUGCGUAGCCGACCUGAGAGGGUGAUCGGCCACACUGGAACUAGGACACGGUCCAGACUCCUACGGGAGGCAGCAGUAGGGAAUCUUCGGCAAUGGGCGAAAGCUUGACGGAGCAACGCCGCGUGAGUGAUGAAGGUCUUCGGAUCGUAAAACUCUGUUAUUAGGGAAGAACAAAUGUGUAAGUAACUAUGCACGUCUUGACGGUACCUAAUCAGAAAGCCACGGCUAACUACGUG
rnacentral:rRNA from 1 species